UACGGGGGGGCAAGCGUUGUUCGGAAUUACUGGGCGUAAAGGGUUCGUAGGUGGCCUGCUAAGUCGGACGUGAAAUCCCUCGGCUCAACCGGGGAACUGCGUCCGAUACUGGUGGGCUCGAGUGCGAGGAGGAGACGCGGAAUUCCAGGUGUAGCGGUGAAAUGCGUAGAUAUCAGGAGGAACACCGGUGGUGUAAACGGCUUUCUGGACCAUAACUGACGCUGAUGCACGAAAGCUAGGGGAGCAAACAGG
rnacentral:rRNA from 1 species